AAAUAAUUACCCUGACCAAGUUAGCACUAAUACCUUUAAAAAGUAGACAACAUGGAACUAAGCAAUCUGCUCAACCAUUGCAAUUUGCUCAAUUGUUUGGAUCUAAUUACCGGGCCUGUGUAUUUUCUGCUUGGUGUCCCCAGCCUUUGAACCAUUUCCAAAGCCAGAGCUUUAUAGAAAGGGUCUUUGAGAACCCCUUUAGAUAGAAUCUGUGAUUCUAUCCUUCUUUAGAUGGAUUUUUUUAUCCGAGUUGCUGAAUUUAUCCAUAUAACUUUGCCUCCAUUUCUUCAUCAACAUCCUUUCUUUGAUUAAUUACCUAAAGCAAGGGUUCUUAUCCUGAGGUCCAGAAGUAGACUUGAGCACUUCCAUGAAUCCCUUGAAACUGUGAGUAAAAUUCUAUGUGUAUGUACAUAAUGGUCCUUCAGGUGAGGGGUGAGGGCCCAUAAAUGUCAUCAGAUUCUCAAAGGGCUCCAUGACCUCCAUCUUGCAACGAUGCAAUCAUGAUGUUCACCAGACCAGAAUUUCCCCAGUCAAUGUGCACGAAUUUGUUCCAGGUGUGUGCUUGAGCCUCUGAUUGCCUCAGCCCUUGAGCGACUGGACAGGGCCAGGCAUGGCUGGAGCUUCCAAGCUGCCCAGGCACUAUAAAAAUAUUAUUUUCUCUGUGUGCCACAGUGGAUAAAAUGUUGGAAGCACUACAGUAAAUUUUCACUUUUAUCCCAUCCACCAUCUUUGUACUGUGCAUCUCUUGCUUCAUCUCCAUGGCCUUAAUUAUCCAGAGGGAAGCUUGGCACUGAUUUGGCCACCUGUGGUAUAAUCUGCACUUCAUAUCCUUUACCAGGAAAGAAAGUGGUGUGGUCGUCUCCUCUUCCUGAGAAUGCUCCCUGGCACACACAGCUUGGAAUUUGCUUUGCCGGCCACGUGGUGAUGUUAAAGUUAAUAUUUAGGGGAAAGGAGAAAAUGUUUGCUACAAUCUGACCGCUGCUCACCUCUGAAAAAGAAGUGGCAAAAGGCCAGAUGUCAGCUCCAGGCCCCAAUGUGUGUUAAAACGACAGGUAACAGGAUUCACCUUGCGCUAACUGAUGUAGCUCCUGAAGCAGCGUGGAAUCCAAAGGAAGCUCGACGCUUACUGCUUCAAAACACACUUCCUCAUCAGGACCCCACCACCGCCACCUUCUGCAGAACCUGGAUCAUGAGCCACUAAUCAACGCCAACUGUUUGAAGAUGCAGGACAGAAGAAAUUCUGAAGGCUGCCGCUUCCUUAUACCUCCCUGAGAGCCGUCUUUGAGGAUUUAAGGCA